rnacentral:tRNA from 1 species
GCAACUAUAGUAUAGUGUAAAAUACAUUACAUUUUCAAUGUAAAGAUGGAAAUUUAUUUUUCUAGUAGCU